CCUGCCCCUACAGGCAUUUCAGAUGCGACUGCUAUAUCACAUAUGGGCCAGUAGGUGGCAGAGAGGAGAGAGGCUACGUUUACAUUCAGUGCUCUGCCUUUUGAACAUCGGAAUGCUUAGUAAGCUAAAUUU